AUUUAAAUAGCUUAAAUAGAGCAUAACAUUGAAGAUGUUAAGGUAGUUUUAAAACUUUUAAAUAC
rnacentral:tRNA from 1 species